CCUACGGGAGGCAGCAGUGAGGAAUAUUGGUCAAUGGGCUUACGCCUGAACCAGCCAAGUCGCGUGAGGGAAGACUGCCCUAUGGGUUGUAAACCUCUUUUGUCAGGGAGCAAUUGGCGCUACGUGUAGCGUUAUCGAGAGUACCUGAAGAAAAAGCAUCGGCUAACUCCGUGCCAGCAGCCGCGGUAAUACGGAGGAUGCGAGCGUUAUCCGACUUUAUUGGGUUUAAAGGGUGCGUAGGCGGAAUGCCAAGUCAGCGGUAAAAUCGCGGGGCUCAACCUCGCUCCGCCGUUGAAACUGGCGUUCUUGAGUGGGCGAGAAGUAUGCGGAAUGCGUGGUGUAGCGGUGAAAUGCAUAGAUAUCACGCAGAACUCCGAUUGCGAAGGCAGCAUACCGGCGCCCAACUGACGCUGAAGCACGAAAGCGUGGGUAGCGAACAGGAUUAGAUACCCGAGUAGUC
rnacentral:rRNA from 1 species